rnacentral:misc_RNA from 1 species
GAUGAAGAACGCAGCGAAAUGCGAUAAGUAAUGUGAAUUGCAGAAUUCAGUGAAUCAUCGAAUCUUUGAACGCACAUUGCGCCCCCUGGUAUUCCGGGGGGCAUGCCUGUUCGAGCGUCAUUUCACCACUCAAGCCUCGCUUGGUAUUCGGCAACGCGGUCCGCCGCGUGCCUCAAAUCGACCGGCUGGGUCUUCUGUCCCCUAAGCGUUGUGGAAACUAUUCGCUAAAGGGUGUUCGGGAGGCUACGCCGUAAAACAACCCCAUUUCUAAGGUUGACCUCGGAUCAGGUAGGGAUACCCGCUGAACUUAAGCAUAUCAAUAAGCGGAGGA